rnacentral:lncRNA from 1 species
AAAAAAAAAUGAAAUGAGUAUGUACCGAUUAUCAGGUUAUCUGCAUGUUGAUAUCGUAAAAUAUCAGCUGCGAGACAUAAUAUGAAGCUUUUUGUCGAGUGAGCGUAGCGAACGAGAUCAAAAAAGCCUUCAUAUAAUGUCAAGCAGCUGAUAUUUUACAAUAUCAAUAUGCAGAUAAUCUGAUAAUCGAUUUAUCGGGCUAUAUUUGCGUGUUUCAGAAGUGUUUUCUUUGUUUCACCAGCAUACAAAAGAUGACUUGAUAAGUUCGGGUCAAAGUUAUUAACGUCGGUUCAA